AAGCACAACCACCAUGACUCUCAUCACCAUCCUCAUCUGGACGCUGACCUGCUGCUGUUUUACAGGAUGCAGCGGUCAGGUGACUGUGACUCAACCUCCAGUAGUGACAUCUACUCCUGGAUCCACUGUCACUCUGACCUGUAGGACCAGCCAACCUGUUAACAUAUUAGUUGAUGUUGACAUGUCUACUAUGUACUGGUAUCAGCAGAAAUCUGGACAGGCUCCAAAGCUCCUAAUAAAAAAUGUGAAAACACUUGAGUCAGGAACACCAACUCGAUUUAGUGGCAGUGGAAGCAGCUCUGACUUCUCUAUGACCAUCAGUGGAGUUCAGGCUGAAGUUGCAGCAGUUUAUUACUGUAUGAGUAUCCACAACAUAAACAGUGCUAUGUGGUUGACUUUUGGUGGAGGAACCAAACUCAUCGUUGACUCUGGCCCCAUGGUCAGACCCUCAGUCUCUCUGCUUCAACCCUCCUCUGAGAAGCUCUCUGGAGGCCCAGUCACACUGGCCUGCCUGCUGACCGGCUACUCUCCUCAGGGAGCUGAAGUGAGAUGGGAAGUAGAUGGCACAGAGGUGACAGAGGGGGUCCUGAACAGCUUAGAAGAAGAGAAGAGUAGUCGCUACAGCAGCAGCAGCACGCUGAUGCUGAGCCAAGAAAACUGGAUGAACGCAGAGGUGUUCUCCUGCAGGGUGAACCAUCAUGACGACCGGCAGGCCAAGUCCUUCCGCAAGAACCGGUGUGAGGGCUAGAGGGGCUGCU